CGUCGUGCGCGAGUCCACCGGUCCGGCUCCCGCGCGCUGAGCGCGCGUGCGGCUCAGCUCGUCGCGGGCCGCAGCGGGUCCGAUCCCUGCUCGUCGUC
rnacentral:tRNA from 1 species